UCGGGUUAAGUCCCAUAACGAGCGAAACCCCUGUCUCCAGUUGCCAGCGAGUCAUGUCGGGGACUCUGGAGAGACUGCCGGUGUUAAACCGGAGGAAGGUGGGGAUGACGUCAAGUCCUCAUGGCCCUUAUGCCCAGGGCUGCACACGUGCUACAAUGGCGUGCACAAAGGGAUGCCAACCCGCGAGGGCGCGCAGAUCCCAAAAAACACGCCCCAGUUCAGAUCGGAGGCUGCAACUCGCCUCCGUGAAGUUGGAAUCGCUAGUAAUCGCGGGUCAGCAACACCGCGGUGAAUGUGUUCCUGAGCCUUGUACACACCGCCCGUCAAGCCACGAAAGAUCGGGGGGGGCCAAGUCGCCGCGCCAACUCGCAAGAGAGGCAAGCGCCUAACCCUCAACGGUCGAUUGGGACUAAGUCGUAACAAGGUACCA
rnacentral:rRNA from 1 species